rnacentral:lncRNA from 1 species
CUUACCAUUCCCAAGAAACUUUCUCCCGGAGGCAGUCACGGCACAAGGCUGCCACAGCAGGAAGCCACAUCUGUUGAAGCUGGCAUGGAAGACUGUUCUCAGGAGGAGCGAGAUGCAAAGUUCAAGGGAACUGCCUGCGAAGACACAUGGUGACGGCGCUGGGUUAUAUAAUGUGCCUUGGUGUGAGGAAGCUCUUUGUUCUAUUUACAAAUCCCUGUAUUACUGACAAGGAAACUUUGAUGGCUGCCUUCCAAAGACAACAGCGAAGAAAGAAAGAAAGGUUUUACAAGUAUAAUUACAGAGCAAUUAAAUGUGGGAGCAGUGAGGAAGACUGCACCAAGGAACACUGAGCCUAUUUGUUUGAAAACUCCACAGGUGCUGGUUACAGCUUUGAAACACCAAGGUUAUUGUGUCUGAAGAGUAUUGUUUCAUCCACAAAGAGGUCAAAUACCGGAGAACAUUCUUGGAUAUUAUGUGAGAUUUAAGCAAGACUUUUUCCUCAAAGACUACCUUAUGAACCAGUUUAUCUGAUACAAAAGCUCCCAAACCCAGAGAAAACUGAGGGUGAGAUUGGAAUACCAACAGAGAGAAUAGAGGCCACAAAAUCAUGAAUAAUGCAGAGAAGAGGGAUAGAGAUUGAAUAAUCACUAUUUGCUAUAGCAGGAGAACACUGAUUUUCAUUAACAAACAAUCACAAUCAUUUUUCUCUGCAGAAACAAGCUUUUAUUAAACAGAUUCCUCUAAGCCAAUCUCUGGGACUCUGCCUCUACCAUUCACUUUUCUGUACUCCUUAGU